GCAGUGCCAAGCCGAACUAGAGGCACACACUGAAAUGGUUCAGAAGUUUAUAUUGUCAAUGUUUUUGAUUGUUACAUGUUAUGUUUUUUGCACAAAUGUUGAUGCAUAUACUGCAGGGCUUGUGGGUAGCCCCAAGCCACUCCCCCAACACAUGAUGCUUGCAAUACAAGCUAGACAAGACCAAUGUCCGUCCACUACACUGAAAGGUGCAGCACAACCAACCUUAGGGACCUCCCUGUUCAGCUGGACUCAGCUGGGACGAGCAGGGACCCCCGCACUAAUACACGCUUCAUCAAUUAACAUACACGCCCACAACAGACGACCACCGUGAGAAUAUGCACAUAUAAUGUGCGAGGACUGAAUGUCCCCGCAAAAAGACACCUCCUUGCCCGCGAACUCAGAACAACC